rnacentral:rRNA from 1 species
CCUACGGGAGGCAGCAGUGGGGAAUAUUGUGCAAUGGGCGAAAGCCUGACGCAGCGACGCCGCGUGAGGGAUGAAGGUCUUCGGAUCGUAAACCUCUGUCAGCAGGGAAGAACGGUCACUGUGCUAAUCAGCAGUGAAUUGACGGUACCUGCAAAGGAAGCACCGGCUAACUCCGUGCCAGCAGCCGCGGUAAUACGGAGGGUGCGAGCGUUAAUCGGAAUUAAUGGGCGUAAAGCGCUCGUAGGCGGGAUGUUAAGUCAAGGGUUAAAUACCCGCGGUCAACGGGGGAAAUGCCCUUGAAACUGGCUAAAUGGAGGGGGGAAGAGGAUAGUGGAAUUCCUGGUGGAGGAGUGAAAUGCUGAGAUA